AAUAAAAUAAGAUCAAGAAUCUUUGUACAAUAAUUCAGUCGAAGGAGUUUUACUCUGAUGACGUAUCAAAUUUCAUUUACUGUAGUUACGACUUUAAGACCAACAAUAAGGCUGCUUCAGCGACAUUGAUUUACCGCUCAUCCUUUGUGCGUGAUUGUGUGACAAUAAUGAGCGACGGUACUUCUAGCUACGAAUCAAUUAAUUAUUUUGAGGCUUGCUUCAAAUUUCAUUGACCCGAGUUUGGGUGGUUCGUACGAGCUAUUGGCGACAGUCGGUCUUCCCACCGAGCUUCGCACACGAAAGUAAUAACGCUCUCAUUUUACGUCUGCGCUAUAAACGGAGUCACCGGAUGUUGAAAAAGGAAAAUCAUGAAAUUUCUCAACUUGACAAUCGACAAAAAUGUACGUGCGUUAAGACGGAGAUGAUCUCUGCAAAUUCUCCGCGAAGGCUUGGGCCUUCUUGCGAAAGAGAUCGUUCGUGAUUCACAACUUUUUUUUCGAUCUCCACUCGGGUUUCUACGGAGCCAAUAUCGGAACGAGUGCAUUAAGCGCUGAGUUUUACUCGAGAAAAAACUAUUUCUCGAUGUGGCUUUCGAGGUAAGUAUAUUUCACAUUAUCACAUUAUAUAUCCCACAUUGGAUCCAUUGUCCCAAAAGAAGACGUCAUCUGUAACGAGAAUCAUGAUCAUGUAUUUUUAAGCGUACGUUUUCAAAGACACUCGUGUUACAGAUGAGGAGCUGACGAAUAAUAACGUAUCGUAUAAUCAACGCUUACUCAUCAUUUUGGGAUAAUGACUCCAAUAGAAGAAGGAUCUAGUUUACGAUGGAAGCAAUGACUUGCGGCGUUGGUUGUAACAUCAGCGAUGAUAAAUGUGGGCAACGAAAGAUACUGGCUUUCCCGAACACGAAAAAAUGUUGCGAACUCGAAUGUCCUACCGGAAGAAUACAAAUAUUACACCUUGGUUGGAUUUUUCCAUUUUAUCGAUGAGCGGCGUGAUCGGAGCGAUUCUCGGGGCAGUUUUAGCCGACCGAUUCGGCAGGAGAUCAGCCUUGUUAUCGACGAGUGUAUUAGCGAUCGGUCAAAUGAUGGGUAGUUGUUCUACGGACGCCAAGUUCGCGGUGCUUUGUUGAUGCUUCAACUCCCGUUCUUCUACGGUGGGAAAUUGAUUGCCGUUGGAAUCCGUCCGAUACUGCCGGUCGAGAACGUGUGUUACAUUCUGUUUAUCAUCACGUGUAUAUUUCUCGCCGGUUUUAUCCGGCUCCCCGAAACUCCUCACUAUUUGGUAUCGAGGAAAAAAUAUCCAAAGGCGACCGAGUCGUUGAUAUUUUACCGCGGUGUAAAAACCGGCGAGGCGGACGCCGAGGUGGACUCGUUGAUAAACACUUUGGCAGUUUGGUUGAUAUCAGUGGCCGAGGAUGUUGCGGUAAGACUCGCGAAUUGUGCGAAUUGAAUCCACGUUCAAAUAACCAUUUACGCGAUAAGCUUCGUUUGCGGUAUUCUAAUUGUUUUUACAGUUGAUAUAAUUGGGCGCAGAUCGUUCUUGUUGUGCUCAACCUUCGUGGGUUUUAAGCUGGUAAUAAUCGACCUGUUCUUAGGAGGUAAAGAGUCCCACCGGCCGGUGUGUUACGCGAUCGUUAUUACCUUGCAAUUUUAUCAGCUUAUUAUUUCCGCCAUUCCGUUGGCUUACGUCGGGGAAUUGUUUUCGACGAAUGUUGAGGCUUUCGCGAUUUCGACGGUCACGACGUUCAACCUGUUGAUCAGUUUUGUGGUCAUUCUAGUAGUUGAGUUUACCGGUGAGGAUAUCAAUUUCAUCGUUCUCGCUAUAAUGACCUUUAUUUCUUUUCCUGUAACUCUUACCUUCGCUCCCGAAACCAAACGAAAGUCUUUUUCAAGUGUCCAACGCGAAUCGGACAAAUCCGCACUGAUGCAAACAGAUAGCCAAUAUUCGGUAUAUUCGACGGAUUCCAAUUGUUCAGCCGAAGCUAUGAGUUCGUAUGAUUGAAAUUUAUUCACCUUUAGUCCAUGUCAUAAAUGCGUACUUAAUAAAUAAUCUUGUACUACUUAUUUAAUUAUUCCUACCUAAUAAAUAUGAAAAAUGUUAUCAAUGUA